rnacentral:rRNA from 1 species
AUGCAAGUCGAACGAUUCCUGUAUCUUCGGAUACAGGGAGUGGCAAACGGCUGAGUAACGCGUAGGAACCUACCCCAAACUCGAGUAUAGCCCCGCGAAAGCGGGGGUAAUCCUCGAUAGCCCGUGAAGUAUUUUACUUCACGGUAAAGCUUUUGCGGUUUGGGAUGGGCCUGCGUCCUAUCAGGUAGUUGGUGAGGUAAAUGCUCACCAAGCCUAUGACGGGUAGCUGGUCUGAGAGGAUGGUCAGCCAGACUGGGACUGCGACACGGCCCAGACUCCUACGGGAGGCAGCAACUAGGAAUUGUGCGCAAUGGACGAAAGUCUGACGCCGCGACAUCGCGUGGAGGAUGAAGGUCUUCGGAUUGUAAACUCCUUUUCUUACCGAACAAGUUCUGAGUGUAGGUAAGGAAUAAGUGCCUGCUAACCACGUGCCAGAAGCAUCGGUAAUACGUGGGGCACGAGCGUUAUCCGGAUUUACUGGGCGUAAAGAGAAGCGUAGGCGGCUCAAUAAGUUUGGUGUUAAAUCUUCCGGCUCAACCGGAAACAAGCACCGAAAACUAUCGAGAUUGAGUCGAGUAGGGAAGAGGGGAAUUCCUGGUGGGGCGGUUAAAUGCGUAGAUAUCAGGAGGAAUACCAAGGGCGAAGGCACCUCUUUGGACUCGUACUGACGCUGAGGCUCGAAAGCGUGGGUAGCAAAACGGAUUAGAUACCCGUGUAGUCCACGCCGUAAACGAUCCCUGUUAG